rnacentral:misc_RNA from 1 species
CCGAGUUCUAAACAAACUCCCAAAACCCCCUGUGAAACAUACCUACUGUUGCUUUCGGCGGGAACCGCCCCGGGCGCCUUCUCGGUGCCCCGGAAACCAGGCGCCCGCCGGGGACAACCAAAACUCUUGAUUGUUAUAAGUGGCAUUCUCUGAGUAAAACAUACAAAUAAGUCAA